UUGGCAGGCAGUGGCUGAGGAUGGAGGGGGCCAUCUGCGAGAGGCAAGGGUCGACAGCCUGGCCUUUGAGAUUAUACAUCGGGUCUGAUUAGAUCCCUGUUUUAUGUCAUAGUGGAGCUAAUUUAAGUGGAAUGGAAGACAUCUGAGUCUCAAUGUUCUCUCGAUCACUUCAAGAAAUUCGAACACGGCAGUGAACUUGCAUUCUUUCUUCAAGCCUGACAUACUGCCAUUUCACACGGAAACGGAGCUCAAAUGGACCAGGACCAAGAAUAAAGAUAAACUGGGAUAUUUGACUUAGAUUUUCUGCCACAGUAUUGCAGAAGAUGCCGAAGGAGACUUGAAUUGGCAUCCAUCUCUCCAACUUUCUGCCCAACCAUUAGCCCUUGAAAUGAAUAUGGCUACUUCACUGAAGACACUGAGCUUCUCACAUGUAGCAAGGAGCAUCACACCCCUGCCUCACUU